rnacentral:misc_RNA from 1 species
AACGCACAUUGCGCCCCUUGGUAUUCCAUGGGGCAUGCCUGUUCGAGCGUCAUCUACACCCUCAAGCUCUGCUUGGUGUUGGGCGUCUGUCCCGCCUCUGCGCGCGGACUCGCCUCAAAAUCAUUGGCAGCGGUCCUUGCCUCCUCUCGCGCAGCACAUUGCGUUUCUUGAGGGGCGUGGGUCGCAUCCACAAAGCAUUUUACCGUCUUUGACCUCGGAUCAGGUAGGGAUACCCGCUGAACUUAA